rnacentral:rRNA from 2 species
UUGGAGAAGGCACUUAGGCAAAUCCGGGUGCGGAAUUCAAGGGUGUGGGACGAGCGGCCUUGUGCUGCGAAGCAAUUGGAAGUGGUUCCAAGAAAAGCCUCUAAGCUUCAGUCUAACGAGACCGUACCGCAAACCGACACAGGUGGGCGAGAUGAGUAUUCUAAGGCGCUUGAGAGAACUCGGGAGAAGGAACUCGGCAAAUUGGUACCGUAACUUCGGGAUAAGGUACGCCCUGGUAGCUUGACUGGCCUGCGCCAGAAGGGCAAAAGGGUUGCAAUAAACUGGUGGCUGCGACUGUUUAAUAAAAACACAGCACUCUGCAAACACGAAAGUGGACGUAUAGGGUGUGACGCCUGCCCGGUGCCGGAAGAUUAAAUGAUGGGGUGCAAGCUCUUGAUUGAAGUCCCGGUAAACGGCGGCCGUAACUAUAACGGUCCUAAGGUAGCGAAAUUCCUUGUCGGGUAAGUUCCGACCUGCACGAAUGGCGUAACGAUGGCCACACUGUCUCCUCCCGAGACUCAGCGAAGUUGAAGUGUUUGUGAUGAUGCAAUCUACCCGCGGCUAGACGGAAAGACCCCAUGAACCUUUACUGUAGCUUUGCAUUGGAUUGUGAACAAAUCUGUGUAGGAUAGGUGGGAGGCUUUGAAGCAGGGACGCUAGUUCUUGUGGAGCCAUCCUUGAAAUACCACCCUGGUUUGUUUGCGGUUCUAACCUGGGACCCUGAAUCGGGUUCGGGAACAGUGCAUGGUAGGCAGUUUGACUGGGGCGGUCUCCUCCCAAAGCGUAACGGAGGAGUACGAAGGUACGCUAGGUACGGUCGGAAAUCGUGCUAAUAGUGCAAUGGCAUAAGCGUGCUUAACUGCGAGACCGACAAGUCGAGCAGGUGCGAAAGCAGGUCAUAGUGAUCCGGUGGUUCUGUAUGGAAGGGCCAUCGCUCAACGGAUAAAAGGUACUCUGGGGAUAACAGGCUGAUACCGCCCAAGAGUUCAUAUCGACGGCGGUGUUUGGCACCUCGAUGUCGGCUCAUCUCAUCCUGGGGCUGUAGCCGGUCCCAAGGGUAUGGCUGUUCGCCAUUUAAAGAGGUACGUGAGCUGGGUUUAAAACGUCGUGAGACAGUUUGGUCCCUAUCUGCCGUGGGCGUUGGAUAUUUGAAGGGGGCUGCUCCUAGUACGAGAGGACCGGAGUGGACGAACCUCUGGUGUACCGGUUGUCACGCCAGUGGCAUCGCCGGGUAGCUAUGUUCGGAAGAGAUAACCGCUGAAAGCAUCUAAGCGGGAAACUCGCCUUGAGAUGAGAUAUCCCUGGGAACUCGAUUCCCCUGAAGGGUCGUUCAAGACCAGGACGUUGAUAGGCUGGGUGUGGAAGCGCAGUAAUGCGUUAAGCUAACCAGUACUAAUUGCCCGUGAGGCUUGAUCCU